UUCACGCUUUGUCCUGAUUGGCUGCUUCGAUAUCCGGUGUUUACUGUUUUCCAGACUUCGUUAGCAGAUGCUAUUUUAAACUGCACUGCCUUCGUGAGCAGUGGAUUAACAAGUCAAUCUUAGAAAAGAAGUAAGUCAAUAAUAAGAUACUUGAUUUUCGGCGGCCAUUUCACUGAAGGAAUGUAAUGAAUACAACUUUGGAUACGGAUAAAAAGGCUGUUGGUUGUAUCUAAAUGGGCUGAAUGUGCUUCUGCUGAGGAUGUAAUUGUGACUGGAUCAAUUAAGUCAGUCAGUGGUCCAAAAAAAAUUUAUUCCGUUGAGUCGUCCGGACGCCAUUUAUAGCGUCCAGUGAGGAUGUUUUGAUGAUGCUGAACAGCAGAGCGAAUCCCCGUCUACUCCAUGCACCGCUUAUUGAGACUUGAACCGGUUCUGUCCGUUCUGGGAGCACCACCCGUUAAUGGUACGCCUCGGUGAUGUGAAGGAACAUCUCAGCCAGAAGGGAAGGCCGAGCCAAAGACUGACACUACCUAUCUCCCAUGGAAGAGGUACUUCUGUGCAUGGCGACUAUCUGAAGAAAACGAGUACUAUUCUUAUAUUCAAGUGUACUCAAAUAGAGCUUAGUUACAAUGCUCUGUGAUGGACCACAACCACCAAGACUUUCUGACAGAUCCUGGUGGAGAACCUGUGCCUACAGCAGAGUACUUCCUGCAUGGUGAACGAGGAUCUGACCACUAAUGGUUCCUGGUCACAGAGGUCCUUCUCCUGUUCCAUGCAGCGAGCGGAGUCGUUACUCAGAAGCACCUUUAACCCCAGUCUCAAGUGGCUGUUCCACGGGCGCAGUCAGGAUGAGAAUGAGGAAGAGGCAGAGGGACAUUUUGUGGCCGCUCACAAUCUGGUGUCCCGCUCCUCUGCACGUCUGCUGCAUCUGCAACAAGCCCUUCUGACCGUGGCCCCCCAGUGGCAGCCGGUCAGCUGCGCCCUAAAUGGAUCUCCACAGGUGUGUAUUAAAGGUGUCCCAGCUGAGGUGGGUGUUCUCCUUCGGGCCUCCUCCUCCUCCAUCCUACAGGCCCACUACAUGGCUCUGUGGAGGCUGCUGGAGCAGCGCUCCCUGCUGCUCUUCAUACAUGAGUACGGCAGGAGGGCUCGCAUAGCAGCAGCCUACGUGUCCCGGUUAAGCCACCUACUGGAGAAAUCACACCAGGCGCCCCACCAGACCCUGUCCGGGUGGUCUUCAUCCAGUGUUGGUCUUGGUUCACUGAGUCAGGAGCUGCGGGUCCAUCUCAGCCACUGGUCUUGUCUGUUCUCAAAAGUCCGCUCUGACCAUUACCUGAGACCAGCUCUGGUCCAGCAUAGCCGGCUACUGGGGGAAGUCAAACACACUCUGGACUUGCUUGGUCUGCAGGCACUGGUUUUGAUGGAACUUUACGUGAAUGUCAUUCUGUGUGCCGUAGCGCGGGCCGAAUUAGACUCUGUACCGAGGGACGUCUUGGAGGAUAUUUUAGUUGGAACAGACCUGUAUAACCAGGCAGUGGGAGAACAGAGAGUGCAGUGCAGCACCGCCCAGCUGAGGACUGCAGUGUUACAGCGGGCGCAGUGUUCCACACUGGACUGUAGUCAUCCAAACAGCAGAGGGCAACACCCUGCUGCCAUCACGGUCAAAGAGCUGAUGAGGAUUUUAGCGGUGCAUCAAGCAGACAUGGUAGCCGAGCAGCUGCACAGCUGGGCCUCUAAGCAGAGCUGCCCCAUCUGUCAGGUCCACACCACCCACGAGGCCUACACAUGUUCUGAUAACGUUGUUAGGCAGAGGCCCAGGUCCAGCUCUGGGGCCUCUGCGCUAAGAUGCGAGUGGUCCUGGGAGCAGCUGCAGCACACCUACCCCAUUCUUCAGCGGCCAUCGUCUAGCCCCACCUGCCACAAGUCUGUUUACAUCCCUGACCCUCAUUUGGACAGUACUAUCUUUGAGCACCAACAUCCUCUGUUAGCCAAGCCCACUUUUGUCCAAAACAGACCAGAGGGCUCUAACAAGGCCCAAACCAGCCGGUGCCAACCAUACACAUCCCAGACGGGGCAAAUUCAGACUAGUAUGGAAGCUUUGGACGCAGGUCAAAGUUUAGAUAACCAUAAAUCAUUGCAGACCAUUUCUCCCCCUUCCACCACCCACCAGGCCCCCUCAGCCCUUCCUCUGUCAGGGGUUUGCCAACAGGACCAUUCCUCUGUAGAGCUACUGUUUCAGGUGCUGGUGGCCUCCAAUGACCUGCUGGCUUCACUGGUGUCCCAUACACCGGCCCCAGAGGCUCCACCUGAACCACUGCUCCCAGAUACAAGAAAGGAUGUGCUAUCACCAAACAGAAGGACUGACCAGAUGAUUUUAAAUGUUCCAAGGAUGAAUUCUGCUUAUUCAGCGGGCUGGAUUGCCCACAGUUCAGAGCCGAGCACGGUCCCAAAUGUGGAAGGGCCUCAGCAGGAAAGUGCUGAACUGAAUCCACCAACCAGCUCAGGAUGUGGAAGGGAUGCAAAAGAGGAGACUGGGGGACCGCAGGGGACAGCAGUGGAACCGGACAGUCUUCGUUGGCCUCCCUCGGUCCAGUGGUUGGACCUCGGUCAGUCUCUGUUGUUCGUGGAUCUGUUUGGACAGUACCGCAGCCUGCUGUGGACUCUCUGCAGAGAGGCCUUGUGGUUGCAGCUGCAUGUGCCCCGAGCAGGAAACCGUGCAGAGAGCAUCAACCUCCAAGACAAACAAAGGGGCUUCCAGAUCCUACACAGCAUGAGUCAGGCUUCAAAGACGGAUCUGGUUCCAGAAGAGUGCAGGACCAUGCUGGAUGAAUUCUGUCUCCAUCUAUUAGUUAUUACAGCACAUGCUCAGUGGGACUAUGAGGUGUGCAGAAGUUUAGGUUCAGCUCUGAAGGACAAGUGUCUCUCACCUGUGAGUCAGAGUAGCAACUCUGCAACGCCGCCAUCGGAGCAAGAUGCAAAUGUGAUGAUGUCAUUGACCAUGGAGCAUCUCCUGUCGUUGUCCCCUCCUCUCCUGACUUCUCUGAGCUGCCUUCAGUCAGGUUCUUCUAGCCUCUCCCCUUCCAGGCUGCCCCUUCAGAGAAUCACUGUUAGCUCGGUGUUAGCCACAGUGCAGGUGUCCAGGGUCUGGGUCAUGUCCAAGGCCCACCAGUUCCUCUUAUCAUGGAGCCUCAACAAGUUCCUGCUCAUCACACAGGGAGACCUCAAACGGCUGCAGGAGUCAAUAGAGAUGAUGGUGCGUCAGACAAAGUCUCUGAAGAUGAAUUUAGAUAGGAAGCAGCCUUCCACGCUUCAUAACCACAACCAGCUUCUGCUGAUGCAGCAACUCGUGGCCCUGGACAGGGCUGUAUCUGAGCUGCAGACCUUCUCUUCUCUGGUGCUGAAGACCUUCUCCAGCGACUGCAAGAGGAUGUCAGGGCAGAUCUUUGAACAGACCAUGCCUUCUGCUGUACACUGGAGACCCAGUCUCAGGACAGGUUUUCCCAGUUGUCCCAGUGAGUACGCGUCUUUGGCAGCUCAGACUGUGAUUGGGCAGGUUUUAGAGGGUGUGGCACCAUUGUCUGAUGAUGCCCGUAUCCAAGCGCUCAGUAUAACAAUGACUGCUUUCAUGGAGGCGUGGAUGGAACACAUCCUGAAACAGAGGAUCAAAUUCAGUGUGCAGGGAGCCCUCCAGCUGAAGCAGGACUUUGAUUCCAUUAAAGAGUUGAUCCAGUCAGACAAAUACGGCCUGUCAGCUGAACUCCACCAACGGCUGCUCAGCCUCCGGUACCACAUCCUGCUUUGUAACUGGUUUUUCAACAAGUGGACUCGGCAGUGGUGUGUCUGCUCCAGCAGCCGCAGGCCAGACCGUACGUGCAGUCCAGAGCCUGGGAGCCUUUCACGCGCUGCUGUCCGACCAAAAGCAGCAGAGACAGCCUUGAUGCAGCAGUGAGGAGCAGUAUCACCAACCUGAGGUGUGUGGAGGGGGAGGACCUGACUCUGUCUGGCGCCUCCGUUGUGACGGACGACGUCCCUGGAGUGAACCCUUCCAGCCCUGGAGAGCCUUACCUCGCUCCGAGUGUAGCUCUGGGGGUUGCUCAGGGUGAAUGGUUGGACCUGAGGAUCCAGAGCAACGCUCAUCGCUGGAGGCUGCCUGGUCUGCAAUGUCUCUCAAAGUCUGAGCCCUGAACACACACAGACACACACACAUUUUGUAUGAACCUGUUUUUUUGGUUUAGUGUCCAAAAACAUAUUAUAGUUAAUUAAAAUCCCCUAAAAAAUGAUUUUACUCUUGCUGUUCAGACUAGUGUAUACUUUGCAAAUUAAAUAUCUAGAGAUUACUUCUGAAAUAUCUAAUACAAAUGUAUAUAUUAGUCUUUACAAUGUUUAUAUUCCUUAUGAACACCUAUUUUUUUUAUUCCUGAAUAAAAUACAGACCGUCA